AGCUCCAAUAGCGUAUAUUAAAGUUGUUGCGGUUAAAAAGCUCGUAGUUGGAUCUCGGCGAACAGGGGGCGGUUCGUUAUUUGACGGUACUGCCCCAUUUGUUCGUAUUUUUGCAAGAGGAUUGGGGGUCCCCUUUGUUGGGUGUCUCCGGUCGCUUGCAGGUUUACUUUGAAAAAAUUAGAGUGCUCAAAGCAGGCUUACACGCUUGAAUAUUCGUGCAUGGAAUAAUAGAAUAGGAAGUCGUUUCUAUUUUGUUGGUUUUCGGAAAAUGACUUAAUGAUUAAUAGGGACAAUCGGGGGCAUUAGUAUUCAAACGACAGAGGUGAAAUUCUUGGACCGUUUGAAGACUAACUACUGCGAAAGCAUUUGCCAAGAGUGUUUUCA
rnacentral:rRNA from 1 species